rnacentral:rRNA from 1 species
UACGGAGGGUGCAAGCGUUGUCCGGAAUCACUGGGCGUAAAGGGCGCGUAGGCGGCCCGGUAAGUAGGGGGUGAAAUCCUGCGGCUUAACCGCAGGGCUGCCUUCUAAACUGUCGGGCUCGAGCACGGUAGAGGCAGAUGGAAUUCCCGGUGUAGCGGUGGAAUGCGUAGAGAUCGGGAGGAACACCGGUGGCGAAGGCGGCGACCUGGGUCGAGACUGACGCUGAGGCGCGAAAGCGUGGGGAGCAAACAGG